GUGUUACUCCCUCCGUGCAGAAUUACUUGUCACAAAAAUGGAUGUAUCUACAACUAAAAUACAUCUAGAUACAUUCAUUUCUUAGACGAGUAAUUCCGAACGGAGGGAGUAGAAA
rfam:Triticum aestivum genome assembly, contig: Triticum_aestivum_CS42_TGACv1_scaffold_577732_7BL